rnacentral:lncRNA from 1 species
UUGCCGGCCGCCGGCUGGGGAGGUCUUGCCGGGCCGGAGAGACCGGGACAGCGGGACUGGUGGAGCCGUGGAGCGUGGACUUGGAGGCGGGGCGGGACUGGGGCGCCGGAUGCGGAGCCGCGGAGACAUGGAGGCGGAGCGCCGGAGGCCUGGAGGCGGCUCAGGCAGGACCAGGACGCCGGAGGCGGAGGCUGGACGCCUGGACCGGGAUGUCGCCCGGAGGCGGAGGCUGGACCGCGAU